GUUGCUUACAGACUUUAAUGCUUAAUAAUGAUAGUUUAGUUUAAAGAGAUAACACAUAACAUCAAAAAAACAAAAAGAAACAUUUUGAAAUUCCAUCAUUAAUUAAUGAUGCCUGACAUCACAUCUAUUUUUGCAUGUAUUACAAGUAUACUUCACUGUUUUUACCUGAUGACACCUUUCAUAGCUCUUUGUUUCUAUGCACACUAUUUUCAGAUUCGUAGUGCCUUCCAAUAAUAAGCCCAUUGGAGGUAUAGUUUUGUUAUAUAAUGUUAAGGAACUUGGUAGAGAUGUCUCAAUUCCUAGUGUAAUUUUGUACAGUUUUAUGAAUUAAGAUGACGUUAGCAGGUGGCAUAAUAGGUGAUAUAUAUAAUUGAAGUUAUGGGUAGCUAUUAUCCUUUCUAGAAGGAAAGCUUGUACAUGACUUGAAUGAGAAAUUAAAACUGAAAAAAGGGGAAUGUUUUAUAUAAUACUGUAUCUGAUACUUUUCGAGCCCAUAGUGAUGGUGUGCAAAAUCACAGGUAUGGAUUACAAUGCAAAAAUGCUGUGAAAUAAAACCGUACUGUGAGGUACCUGUGAGUCAUGGUAACAGGCAUGCCCAUUUUGCUCUGCUUGUGUUACACAGCAAAGACAUGUACCUUUGGUCUGGUACUUGCUCAAAUGCUAAAUGUUAUAAUCAUGUAAAUAACCUCAUGAGUGGAAAAAAAAGAAGGUGGGGAUCUGGGACAGUCAUUAUCCUUUUGAAAGUCGUGAUAACACUUAGCAUGUCUGAAAGUAAUGUAAGCACUGAGUGUAAGUGCUAUGCUGGAUAAUAGCCAGAGCACUCCACACACAGCAGACUACAGCGUCUGUUUUCUUGCAGCAGCAACUACUGACACUGUAGACAAACCAUCUACAUUUAUCUUGCUGCCAGUUUCAGACCCUUUCCUGCUGGCACUGUUGCUUCCACUCAUUCUGAAUUGCACUUUAAGGCAAAACAAAAGUCCCUGUCAAUGAGAGAAACAAAGAGUAAGUCCAUAAUAAAUAGUACCAUGUGGGCACAAGGACUCAAGCAGAAAGGGAGAAGGAAGAGCAAAUUCUGAAUUUUGUAGUGACAGAACAUAAAAGUAUUCCUAGAGAGCAGCUGCAGUGCUGGGAUCCCCAAUCAGAUAAUUUCCUUGAGGCUUAAGGGAGCCAAGAGCUUUAGCCACCGUUGACAAAUGGCCGCUUUUACAGUCUGUUUUGGCUUUCAGGAUUUUCUGUCGUCUAUAAAAGGGAAGCUACCAUUCAAAUGUUAGUGAUGGGCUUAGGGCAGAAAUUAAAGUAGAGCCUUCUGUGCUUGUGUUAUGUGGGAAGACAGAUGAAACAGCCAGAGAGGUCCCUUCUGGCUUGAAGAGAUCUGGGAGCUGUGCAUAAAAGAUUAUGGCUUCCCACACAAGCUAGGUCAAGUGUGCAGGAUAGAUCUUGAGGGAGUUUUGAAAGCAGAGCGUUAGGGCCUGGCAGGUCAGAAAGGGUAUCCCUCAGAGAAUAAAUUAGUGUCAAGCUCCUAAAAUAAAUCAUAUUUGGAAAUACACAAGUGACCCAUGUGCUUUAGUUACGUUUGUCCCAAACUUGUAUGUGAUUUCCAAUAAAGUUUGAAAACAUGCGUGGCUAUAGAGGGUAAAUUCUAAACUUUCAUGAGCAACUGAUAAUGUAUUUUAAACUCCUCUGUGCCAAAACUAUAUAAUAUGUGGGGCACAGCGGCUCCAAAACACUUGUUCUCUAUGCCAGAGUUUAGACAACCAAAUAAAUCAGACAAGCAUCUGGCCUUAUUGUUGCAGUUAGAACUAGACAUGAGGAAUUACUUUGUAUGAAUGUGAUGAGACAAAAUUAAAUUUAAACUUCUAACAUAGUCAAUAAAUUUUACAAUAGUCUAAUUUUUCAAGGAACCUUGCCUCAAGCAAGAGCCACAAUGGGAAAGAUAUAUAUAUAGUUCUUAACUUCUAAUGCUGAAUAUCUGUUUUCUCCAUUUAAUAGAUUCAGUGCUUCAUCAGUUCUAUAAUUGCACUUACCCAGUUAAGAACUAGAAGUACGAGGGCUGCUCUGAAAGUAAUGCCUCCUAUUUUGCAAUAUUGGCCCAUGACAUCAGAGGUGGAUGGUGGGGGUAUGGCAAUGGAGACAGAACCAUCUCAACAAUAUUCCAUUACACUAAUAAGUCAUAUAAACAUCAGCUUUUCAUCCAUCCUGCAAAUAGCACAAGAAAGUGUCUCCAUUAGUGACUGAGAUGUGAUGUGAAAGCUCCACCUAUUUUAAAUCCAUACAGUUCUCUCUUCAUACGUAUUUGUUAUUUGUGACCUUUCAAAUAUUAUUGUAUUCAGAUGGUAGUCUUGAUGCAUUCAACCUAUGGACCAUCUACCUGUGGAGGAAGAUAUACGAGUCUACCUUGUCAUCAGAAAUUUCUCAGAGAGGUAAAUUUUAGAUAUGUUUUCUUUCUAAUGUUAUUAUAUUGCCAAGAUUUUUCACCUCUGUUUAAAAGCUUUAUAAUUACCAAACAUCAGCGACAACUGAAAAGGGGCUAAUGAAAAAGUUACUAAGGAAGGAAAGAGAUCCCUUAGAAGUUUUUUUUCAGAAAUGAGGCUCUGAAAUUAUGAUAACGUGAACAGAAUAUCAGAUUUUGAAACUGAAAAAAAAAAUACUCAUGAAACUGAAAGAAAUGUUGGUCCCCUCUAGUAGCUGCAGCCAGCCCAUCCUGUUUUGUACAGCCAUUAUUCUGAAAUGGCCUAUUUUUAUUUCACAGCACCUUCACACUUCAUACUACUACCAACAUUCGCAGCAGUAAAUAAAUUCAUUCAUCUGAAUAAUCUCACUGAACAUGUGUAACAGUCUAUGUUACAGUAAAUUCUGGGUGGAAGGAGAUAAAAUAAGCCUCUGUUCCUCAAAUCAGUGCUCACCAGGACACAGCCCCAGCAUUAGUCAACAUCUCUGCCUCCUUUGUGCUGUCUUAUCUGUGCCUGGGGUGAGUGUAGAAAUCAGAGCAUGGCUGGCAUGGAGUAGCAGAGGCCAGGAGAAAAAAAUACAACCAGUCCAGUAGGAUGACUGCAGAAAUAAGUAUGUCUUACUGUAGGCAAAAUUGCUUACCAUUAUUCCACUGCAGGUUCUUUGGAAAUCCUUAUUACUUGCAAGUCUUUCUCAUUUAAACUUUUCAAUUACUGAGAGCUUCUGAUGUGAAUCAUAUGACAUUUUUUAUUCUUGCUUCCCUACUGCUCUGCAUGCCCCAGAGUCUACACACCAAUAAAAAUUAUCUGAGUGUUUCCACUUCACAAGAAACUCUACCUAAAGAAACUUAAGAAACUGUUUAAAAUUUCAUCAGUUUUCAUUCUAGUCAUAUUUUCGUUUAGACCCUCCAAUUUAUUCACAUGAAUAUUUGUUUGGGUGCAGUUAUAACUAUUUUUCCUUUUUUUAAACCCUUCCAUAUAUUAGAUCUGUGUUGAAAACUACUUCCACUUAUUUUGCACUCCAACUUCUCACUACUUUUGUUGACUUUAUGUAAAUAUUUUCUUUUAGGCAAGAGAUUUCAAAGCACUUCUAAUGGUUUUUUAAUGCAAAAUUACUGAAACUGCCUUCAUUGGUUCUUUUUCCUCACCCAGAUUUAAAAUAGGUUUUUAUAGACUACAAAUUGAAGCAGGAAAUUCAUGUCUGUGCUACGAGAAGCAUAAGAAAAUACUUUAAGCUUUCCAAACAGAGUUGCUGUGAAACAUAGGCAUUUUGUUGUGCCCUCUCUCAUCAGGACUGGCGUAUAUUCUAAGCACCAGAGAUCUCAGACCACUUUAAAGACUAGCCACAGUUUGUGUAAUCAAUCUUUGUUUUUCUGCCUCAGAGUUUUCAUAUCAUCUAUAACUUAUCUGUAUUUCUGCCAGAAUCAAUAAAUUCAUGUGCAAAUUAGAGUAUUUUAACAGCCAGAAAUAUUGCAUUGACUAGAAUAAUUCCAUGAGACUUGCAUGUGCUUAUGAGACGUGUGUGUAUGUUUCUACGCUCACAUUUCAGACAUGUCUGAUGAGUGAGAAAUGCCAGCUGCUGUCCCAUGACAAUACACACUGGACUGACUUUAAAGUAGCUGCAGAAAGAAUCUUUAGAGAGAUUGAACACCAGAGUUUUACUAUGUGACAAGAAAGAAUCAGCUCAGGUGGGAUUGCUGUGUAUCAUCAGGGAUCAAAUCUGCAUGCUGUUUACAUCAGUGUAGCAAUAUGAACAAUGAGCGUGACCAUUGGAAUUGGGCUCAAUGUUUAUCAAUUACUGUUGAUAUCCAAUUAUCAAAGCACAGCUAAAUUCCAUACAAGAUGUCAGCACAAAUAAUUAUAGACAAUUUUCUCCUACUCCACAAACUGACCUGGAUGGUUCUCUCUGUGCUUCAAGAGAUGUGGAAUUGUUACACUCACGGCAACCAUUGUCUUUCCUUGUGGAAGAAAUUCAACGUUAUGACUUAACCGAAUCAUCACAGAGGAGAAGCAGAUGGGUUUUUGUGAGAGAAAGAUCCCCACGUAGUUUUUAAAAAUGUAUCUUUUUUAAUCAGAAGAAUGUCUGGGAAAAUGAUGAAAACGCAAAUAGCUACUUAUUAAAAUAAGCUGUAACAAAACUCCCUGAAGUGAGUUAGUGCAUUUUAUUUUAUCACUGAAUUAAAGUUUAAUUUAAGCUCCCAUAAAAACUAACUUAGACUUUUACACUGACUUGUAAGGAGUAUAUGCUAUAUUCAAUAAUCCUUGUCAAAUAAAGGCACAAAUCUAAUUAAGCAAUAAAUCCAUAAAAAUUGUUACACACAGUUAAUGAGUGGCUUGCAUUUUCAUAACAGCAAUGGCAUAUUAAGAAAGCAUUAGCUGUGGUAGUAUGGCUGGAGUAGUUAUACUGAUAAAUUAGUCAUUCUGGCAUUUCAUGACUGACUUUUAAUCACUUCGAGUUGCAGAGAUGUGCUUGGUUUAGAAUUUGUGCUAUUAUUCAUAAAUUCUAUUAAAAGAGAGUUAAUCUAAGUAUCUAUCCAUAUUUGUAAGAUAUCAGUUUUACAAAAUGAGUUAGUUUUUCAUCUCAGCAGGACAAGCAGCUCUGGCUGACAGCAAUCUAGAGUUGAUACUAAAAGUUGGGACCAAAACCACCAGUUUAUAACUACAGAUUGUAAAAUCAGUGUUUUUAACAGGAAUCUAAUAAAGAGAUACAUUGCUGUAAUAUGUUGGUUUUAGGAAUAUGACAUUAGUUGAACUCAUAUACUCUGGUCUUAAUGACAGGACAUGUCUCAACCUUAGUUCAUAAUUUGAAUUAAUCCAAAGUUAAAACACCAAUAGUAUCUACUCCUCUCUCCUCCACUUUCAGUACUAUGCAAUUUGGUGGGUUUUGUUACUGUUGUUUGUGGAUGGUGUUUUCUGGAAAGCCAGUUAGUUACAGGCUUCUUCCUGUUGCAUGUUAAUCCCACUGAGCAGCACUUGGUUCCUGUUUAUUUAUCUGAUUCUGGCAAGCAGGAGCGUGCACACUCAGUACCAGCAAAUCCACUAGUCUGUGGGAGCCGGAGAUUAGCAUCUGGGGACCAAAGAGUGGUGGUCUGCUUGGGGUUAAUGCCCCUUUUUUGGGGUAAUGCUGCUCCCCAAGCCCUUACUCUCACAUCAGGGAGGGUCUUCACCAUUACAUAGCAAUUGUGCUGCCUCAGUUUGGGACAGCAAAUGUCUGUGAUGGAGUCUCUAUAUUGCUCUGGCUUCAGAUACUGCUACCUUCUCUCACAUAUUUCAUAAAUGUACUUUAUGUUGAUAACAUGCCUUUAAAAUUCUGCUGAAUGGAAUAAAGGAUACCAAACAGUAAAUUGAAAAGGUAUAAAAAUGGAUCUGUCACGUAUCCUAUAGUAUAUCUGCAAUUUCUGCAAUGCUUUUAGCAGUAAGGAAGAGCCAGGUGGUGUUUUUAUUUCUAACAGAUACACAUUAUAUGCAGCUGGUUUAGUUUUUAGUUUAGAUGUUGAAAAUGUGUAUGGAACUUUUAGCUGCUGUAAUAUGUUUAGUAAUAAUAUUCCAUGUCCCUGAAGCCCACUCCAGCUGGAGAUAUAAAUCAUCUAAACAGGCAUUAAUAAAUUAGAGUCUAAAAUACCUUUACCUUCAUUUAACUUAUUUUGAAAAAGAAACCCUUUAUUCCUCUUUAAAAUGAAUCUAAGAUAUCUGUUGUUUUUAAAGAAAUAGCACUCGGUUUAUUUAUUGUUCGUAUUUAUGGAAAAAAAGCUGGUAAAGGUUAUAGGCCAGCUUUAUUUAUAUAUAUCUUUCAGAGCAAAGGCCUGCACUUGUUCAUGAAUGUCAGAGGUGAAAAUCAAACUUCUGCAGAAAGGUCACAAAGCUUUCAAGAUUUGUUAGAUACUCCAAGAAAAUCUUGUAUAGGAUUUAAAAAAUCGGUAGGAUUUCAUGUGUGAAGAGGAAAGAACUGCAGAAGCUGAGACAUCAUUCAUCUUUGAUUCAUCAUUCUUCUUAACUGCACCUGAAACUUUUUCUUUUAAACGUGUGUUACUAUAAAAAUUUCCCCCAUAGAGUCACAUACUGUAAAAUUGUGUAUUAUUUUUUCUUGAGUAGGUUCCCCUCUUUUUCCACUAAGAUGUGAUAAGUAUUUAAAGGAAAUAAAGGUGUUGAGCUUGUGGUAAAAA